rnacentral:rRNA from 1 species
UGGGGAAUUUUGGACAAUGGGCGAAAGCCUGAUCCAGCAAUGCCGCGUGUGUGAAGAAGGCCUUCGGGUUGUAAAGCACUUUUGUCCGGAAAGAAAUCCUUGGCUCUAAUACAGUCGGGGGAUGACGGUACCGGAAGAAUAAGCACCGGCUAACUACGUGCCAGCAGCCGCGGUAAUACGUAGGGUGCAAGCGUUAAUCGGAAUUACUGGGCGUAAAGCGUGCGCAGGCGGUUUGCUAAGACCGAUGUGAAAUCCCCGGGCUCAACCUGGGAACUGCAUUGGUGACUGGCAGGCUAGAGUAUGGCAGAGGGGGGUAGAAUUCCACGUGUAGCAGUGAAAUGCGUAGAGAUGUGGAGGAAUACCGAUGGCGAAGGCAGCCCCCUGGGCCAAUACUGACGCUCAUGCACGAAAGCGUGGGGAGCAAAACAGGAUUAGAUACCCUGGUAGUCCACGCCCUAAACGAUGUCAACUAGUUGUUGGGGAUUCAUUUCUUUAGUAACGUAGCUAACGCGUGAAGUUGACCGCCUGGGGAGUACGGUCGCAAGAUUAAAACUUAAAUGAAUUGACGGGGUCAUAGCUGUUUCCU